rfam:Populus trichocarpa isolate Nisqually-1 chromosome 18, whole genome shotgun sequence.
GGCCGUGAUGAAGAGUGCUACAUAAUUCUGACACCUCUUGUAUGAGAGGAGCUUUUCGGAGCUCUUCUUUGAGCACAUACAGCAACUCUCUGAGCC